rnacentral:misc_RNA from 1 species
ACACGGUGACGAAGAUCGUCCCGUGCCGUCCGCCCGAGGCAGUGCCGUACUCCUCGUGAGCACGGACCAGCGGCGGUUGGACCGGAGCCACAAGGCGACGGUGGAAGGUGAGUCGACACGGGUCAGUCCUGUGUCGACAGCUUACAGCCCCGUCGUACGGUGCUCAGGCCCGACCGAGGAAAUCGGGCAGCCCUUGCCCACCGCGGCACACGCCGAAGGGCGGGGCCUCCCGGUGCGAGUGAACCGUGCGGUGUGGANUGCAUGCAGUGCAAAUC